rnacentral:misc_RNA from 1 species
CGCCGCGGUAAUUCCAGCUCCAAUAGCGUAUAUUAAAGUUGUUGCAGUUAAAAAGCUCGUAGUUGAAUUUCGGGGUUAGUAGGUUGGUCAUGCCUCUGGUAUGUACUGAUCUCACUGAUUCCUCCUUCCUUAUGAACCGUAAUGCCAUUAAUUUGGUGUUGCGGGGAAUUUGGACUGUUACUUUGAAAAAAUUAGAGUGUUUAAAGCAGGCUAACGCUUGAAUACAUUAGCAUGGAAUAAUGAAAUAGGACGUUCGAUCUUAUUUUGUUGGUUUCUAGGAUUGACGUAAUGAUUAAUAGGGAUAGUUGGGGGCAUUAGUAUUCAAUUGUCAGAGGUGAAAUUCUUGGAUUUAUUGAAGACUAACUACUGCGAAAGCAUUUGCCAAGGAUGUUUUCAUUAAUCAAGAACGAAAGUUAGGGGAUCGAAGACGAUCAGAUACCGUCGUAGUCUUAACCAUAAACUAUGCCGACUAGGGAUCGGAUGAUGUUAAUUUUUUAAUGACUCAUUCGGCGCCUUACG